CGUCAUACAUCUAUUAUAAAACCACGUCGCUGCAUCAAAUCUCUCUUUUCUUCCAUCCAGCCUCAGACGAAGGAGGACGACGUUAUUUGUGUUAGGCUCAUGAAUGUCUUAGGACUACAAAUGAGAGGGUGAAAGGUCCCCAGUGGCGCUCAGUUCAAGUGUUCGAGAGGGAGACUCUUGGGGUCUUUGGACUUCGCAUGCAUCGCCUGGAGUUGUUGGCAUACUUUAACAGAACUUGUUUGGGUUUGUUAAUAAAACAAAUUUUGUAUCUUUAA